UCCUAGCUUCCACUAGAUUCCACAAAGAUUAAUGAAUGAAUGCUCAUACAGCGCUUUGAACAUGUACCGUGCAAUGAAAAGGCCAUGGAUUAAUCCCACCCGAACUUCAUUUCUAAACCACAGGAAUGUCACUUGUGUCUCAGUCAAACAAUGUAGCAAGGUAAAAGGCACAAACCUAACUGGAAGCCAGAACUGGAUGCAGCCGGCCAUUGGGGAGGAGAAGGUUUCCAAAUGGAAAUAUCUAGCUCUGAUUGAUCCAUUCAGAUCCGAUCUUCCACUAGUCUGAAGCAGCAUCACUCCAUGGAGCAAUGUGGAUUUCCACCAGCCAAGGAUAUGGCCCAUUCAUCUUCAAGGGACUGGAGCCGGGCAAUUAGAGCCUGGACUUGCUGCAUCAUUCUGUGCAUGUGCGUGAGGAGUUACCACAGAACGCUGUGCCGCAUGGAUCUGCAGCAAAAGCAACUAGACACGCGCCCUGAGCUGCUUGGACUCCAUGUGCUGAAUAUUAAAGAACCCCCAAUGGUCCUGGGGCUGCUGCCAAAGCGACAGGGCUUUAUCCCUGCUGUGAGGUACUGCCAGGAGCUGUGCGUGCCUCUACGGAAGUAUUUUGGAAUCAACAGGGGAGUGUGUAUAGGAAAGGCUGCACAGCAAUCUGUGUCUGAGGGUGUGUGCAUCUCUGGAGGCGUGUACACGUGUGGCUCUGUACAGGGACCCAGAUUUGAGGCUCCAUUCCCCAUCCCCUGGAGGAAUUGACAGCCAGAGAUGCUGGAAGGAUGGGGUCGGCCAAGAAUGAGCAGUUCUGACAAUGCAAAAUGGGUCUUUUCCAUCCAUCUGGCUGCUGUUAGAGAAACACAGUUAUCGAUCAAAUCCCCCCUGGGAAACAUUACUGUCCGCGAGCAACACCAUGGAGCUGGGCCUGCGCUGGCACUUGCUUAAGAAGAGCACCAUGCUCCCCGUCCUCAGAGCUGUCUCGGCACUGCAGUUCCUGUCUAGGAUCGCCAUGCAGCUUUGUCCCUUUCCAAGGAUCUCGGAUGAAGUGCUUGUUGCAGGGGCAGAGGCAGCAAAAUCACAGGAAACAGGUGCAAUUCUCUAACAGAUAGAAAUGAAUGGCCACCACACUUUGCAACCAUUACAAACAUUGCCUGCUUGAUCAGUGAAGAAGCCAAUAUAGAGAGAGCACAGAAUUGCAAUUCCUCUGUUCUUGAUUCCAGUUUCCCCUGGUGUGUCCUACCAUGCAUGCGGAGAAUGCCUGUCGCUUCAUAGCUGACUUAAAAGAGGGACUUAGUUCCAGAUCUUCAAAGGUAUUUAGGUGCCAAGCACUUAAAUAUCUUUCUGCAGACACGCAUGUAAGUAAUUUCACUCCUUAAAACC